CUUAAAUCUGGCUUGUCCAAAUGUCAAAUUCUCUCCCUUUGAUUGGACAUCUCCUCCUGUCUACUGAAGCUCGAACUCUCUAGCUGAACCAUUUUAUUUGGGAUAACAGAAUUCAGGAUCACCUCAGUUUGCUCAUUAUUAUCCUCCUGAAAAGGUGAGUAGGUGGUACUGAAGUAGGGUUCAGUUUCUCGGAAGGUAACAUCUAUGCUGACAAAGUAUUUUCUAAAUGGAGGGUGAUAAUACCUGUAUCCCUUCUGUGUUAGAGAAUACCCAAUAAACACACAUUUAAGAGCCUUGGAGUCUAACUUUCUUGUCGUCCUAGUAUGGACAAAGCAAAUACAUCCAAAUACUUUUGGUGGAACAAUAUAUGAAUUCUUCCCUUGUAUAACCUCCAAAGGACUCAUAAAGUUAAGGGCCUUGAGGAGCAUUCUAUUGAUAAGAUAAGCAGGUACAAGGAUUACAUCUUCCCAAUAUAUUUUGGGUAGGUUCAUGGUGAAUAUAAGAGAUGGAGCUAUCUCCAAUAGAUGUCUAUUUUUCCUUAAAGCAACGCCAUUUUGAGCACUAGUACAAGGACAACUCGUCUGGUGUACUAUUCCAUUAUUCUCCUAAUACGCAGAAAAACUACUAUCCAUGUAUUUUCUUCCAUUGUCAGUUCUCAAAAUUUUCACCUUAGUAUUAAAUUGAGUACAAAUCAUCUUAUAAAAGGAUUGAAAACAAGAAAAGACAUCACUUUUAGCUUUAAUCAAAUAGAUCCAAGUCAUUCGAGUGCAAUAAUCAAUAAAGGUAACAAACCAUCAAUUACCAAAUAAGGAGACAGUUUGAGUAGGCCCCAAACAUCAGAAUGAAUAGUCACAAAAGGAAUUUGGCUUUUAUUAUUACUCAAAGUAUAGGAGGUUCUAGUGUGCUUAGCUUAUUCACAGACAUCACAAAAUAAAGAACCAAACUGAGUUCUAGCAAAUAAACUAGGAUAAAGUUUUUCUAAGACAAAAAAUAAUAGGUUCCCUAACCGCCUGUGCCACUGUAUUAUUUUCUGAAUGACAUCUUAUUCUCUCCAAAACAAGCUUGAGAUAUUAGAGAACCUGGAUCACCUUCCAAUAUGUAUAAGCCAUCAUGCAACCUACCAUUGCCAAUUCUCUUCAAAUCCUGAAUAACACAAUGAUCAGGAAAAAAUUCAAUUUUACAGUUAAGAGCAUUGGCGAUAGCACUGACGGAUAAAAAGUUGAUAGAAAAGCGGAAAACAUGAAAGGCAAAUGAUAAUUUAAUAUUGGAUGCGAAAAUAACAGAACAUGUUCCGAAUAUGGGAGUAAAAGAGCCAUUAGCAAUUGUGACACUACCUUUGGUAAGAGAAGGAAAAUAGUUGAGAAAGCCUUUAGAAGAGCCUGUCAUGUGUCUAUUUGCACCAGAAUCAAUAAUCCAUGAAAUAUUAUUAGGAGAGAAAGUAUUACCUGAUUUUAUAAAAUUAGAUGUGGCAUCAAAGGACGAAGAGGUGUCAAUAUGAGAUAGGAGAUGCUUAAGACUCUGAAUUUCAUUAGGAGAAAGGAACUCAGCCGCUAUUGUCUCCUUAAAGGUCUCCUCCACAGUUUCUGCUAAAUUAGCUUGAGUUUUGGGGAUAUCUCGUUUCCUUCCACGGCCUCUAGUGGGACGACCAUGUAACUUCCAAUAAAUCUCCUUGGUAUGCCUUGGUUUCCCACAAUAGUCAUAGUACAAGUGAUCUUUCUCAGAAUUAGGGGGUUGCGGUGUGCUCAAACUAGUAGUCAACCUGGCCUUUUCAACUGGUGCAGUAUAGAGUAUAGUAUGUCGACGACUUUCUUUUUGUUGAAUAUGGACGUGGGCCUCUUCU
rnacentral:lncRNA from 1 species